CCGAGCUGAGCUGUCCGCAUCAGCUGCCACGGGGAAGCUGAAAUUGAAUACGCAGUCCUGUAAAUUGGUUACAGAAACACAGUUCAGAAGGAGAAAGCUAGUCAGAAUGAUCAAAAGCAGGAGGGCCUAAUACCAGUGGACACCUCGGUAAAACAAUUGUAAAAUUUGAGCCACUGCCCGGAGCGGAGAGAUAUCUGAGGAUCUCCAUUUAUGCACCAAGCUGGAAUCUGGAAUGUGCUUUGCUUCUCUCAUGGCCUGAACUAAAUACGCUGAAACAGAUGAAGAGGGUUCCUGGGGUCCCAAGACAGAAAGAACAACGACAAAAGUAUCAUAACCAAGAAAGGAAAAGAUAUCUGUAA
ensembl:lncRNA